rnacentral:lncRNA from 1 species
CAAAGGUUAUGUAAUAUUAAUAGUGAUUUAAAGAAUAUUGUAGAGAGCAAAUACUUUGGUCAAUUUCAACUUCUUUUUUGGGAAAAUUGUGAGUUACUUGAAAAAAGUGCAAGGCUGCCAAUAAGAUCCUGUAUAUUGCUACUGACCCUGGACCUAACCCUGUAUAUAGCUACUGACCCUUGAACUCAUCCUGUAUAUAGCUACUGACCCUGGAACUCACCCUGUAUAUAGCUACUGACCCUGGAACUCACCCUAUAUAUAGCUUACAUAGUUUCUUGUGUUCUUAUUUUUGUUAUACUUUACUUUAAAAAAUAAAUAAUACUACUGAUAUUGAUUACUGCACUGUUGGGAAAAACCCUGCAAGGCAUUUCACUGUACUUGUGCAUGUGACAAUAUAAACUUGAUUAGAAAAGGGUAGAGGAGGAGAAGAUGAGGAGGUAGAGAAGAUGAGGAGGAAUAGAGAGAAGCUGAGGAGGUGGAAUAAAGAAGAUGAAGAGAAAUAGAGAGAAGAUGAGGAUUAGAGUGAAGAUGAUGAGGAGGUGGAGAGGAGGAAAAGAGAGAAGAUGAGGAGGAAUAGAGAGAAGAUGAGGUGGAGAGGAGGAAUAGAGAAGAUGAGGUGGAGAGGAGGAAUAGAGAGAAGAUGAGGAGGAAUAGAGAGAAGAUGAGGAGGAGGAGAGGAAGAAUAGAGAGAGAUGAGGGGGAGAAGAGGAGGAAUAGAGAGAAGAUUAGGUGGAUACGAGGAAUAGAGAGAGAUGAAGAGGUGGAGAUGGGGGAAUAGAGAGAGAUGAGGUGGAGAGGAGAGUAGAAAUAGAGAGAAGAUGAGAAGGGGGAGAGGAGGAAUAGAGAGAAGAUGAGGAGGAAUAGAGAAGAUGAGGAGGUGGAGAUGAAUAGAGAGAAGAUGAGGAGAAGAUGAGGAGGAAUAGAGAAGAUGAGGAGGUGGAGAGGAGGAAUAGAGAAGAUGAGGUGGAGAGAGAAGAUGUGGAUAAAUAGACAGAAGAUGAGGAUGAAUAGAGAGAAUGCAAGGAGGAUUUGAGAUAAAAUGAGGAUGUAGAGAGGAGGAAUAGAGAGAAGAUGAUGAGGAAUAGAGAGAAGAUGAGGAGGAAUAGAGAUGAGGAGCAAUAGAGAGAAGAUGAGGUGGAGCGUAGGAAUAGAGAGAAGAUGAGGAAGUGGAAUAGCGACGAUGAUGAGAUGGAGGAUUAGAGAAGAUGAGGGGGAACAGAGAGAUGAUGAGGUGAGACGAGGAAUAGAGAGAAGAUGAG